CGUAAUCCGGGUUGCGGACAGUGUCUGGUGGGUAGUUUGACUGGGGCGGUCUCCUCCUAAAGAGUAACGGAGGAGCACGAAGGUUGGCUAAUCCUGGUCGGACAUCAGGAGGUUAGUGCAAUGGCAUAAGCCAGCUUGACUGCGAGCGUGACGGCGCGAGCAGGUGCGAAAGCAGGUCAUAGUGAUCCGGUGGUUCUGAAUGGAAGGGCCAUCGCUCAACGGAUAAAAGGUACUCCGGGGAUAACAGGCUGAUACCGCCCAAGAGUUCAUAUCGACGGCGGUGUUUGGCACCUCGAUGUCGGCUCAUCACAUCCUGGGGCUGAAGUAGGUCCCAAGGGUAUGGCUGUUCGCCAUUUAAAGUGGUACGCGAGCUGGGUUUAGAACGUCGUGAGACAGUUCGGUCCCUAUCUGCCGUGGGCGCUGGAGAACUGAGGGGGGCUGCUCCUAGUACGAGAGGACCGGAGUGGACGCAUCACUGGUGUUCGGGUUGUCAUGCCAAUGGCACUGCCCGGUAGCUAAAUGCGGAAGAGAUAAGUGCUGAAAGCAUCUAAGCACGAAACUUGCCCCGAGAUGAGUUCUCCCUGAGACUUAGAGUCUCCUGAAGGAACGUUGAAGACGACGACGUUGAUAGGCCGGGUGUGUAAGCGCAGCGAUGCGUUGAGCUAACCGGUACUAAUGAACCGUGAGGCUUAACCUUAC
rnacentral:rRNA from 2 species